rnacentral:rRNA from 1 species
CCCGCUCAGAAACUUAAAUGAAUUGACGGGGGCCCGCACAAGCGGUGGAGCAUGUGGUUUAAUUCGAUGAUACGCGAGGAACCUUACCUGGGCUCAAAUGUAUGUUGACGUAUUCUGAAAGGGAUACUUCUUCGGACAAUAUACAAGGUGCUGCAUGGUUGUCGUCAGCUCGUGCCGUGAGGUGUCGGGUUAAGUCCCAUAACGAGCGCAACCCCUAUCAUUAGUUGCCAUCAGGUCAAGCUGGGGACUCUAAUGGAACUGCCUACGCAAGUAGUGAGGAAGGCGGGGAUGACGUCAAAUCAGCACGGCCCUUACGUCCAGGGCUACACACGUGCUACAAUGGCCGAUACAGAGGGCAGCUACCUGGUGACAGGAUGCAAAUCUCCAAAGUCGGUCUCAGUUCGGAUCGGAGUCUGCAACCCGACUCCGUGAAGUUGGAUUCGCUAGUAAUCGCGCAUCAGCCAUGGCGCGGUGAAUACGUUCCCGGGCCUU